UAGUUCGUAAAUUCCGCCAGGCCCGGAAGGGAGCAACGGUAGCGAAU
rnacentral:SRP_RNA from 1 species